GAGGCGGAACCGAAAAGCCAAAAGAGUAGGAU
rnacentral:ncRNA from 1 species